GGGGUCGUAGCUCAGUUGGUUAGAGUGCCGGCCUGUCACGCCGGAGGUCGCGAGUUCAAGUCUCGUCGGCCCCG
rfam:Dethiosulfovibrio peptidovorans DSM 11002 ctg1, whole genome shotgun sequence.